CAGUCGCCGCGGGAAUGCGUAGGUGGCAAGCGUUGUCCGGAAUUAUUGGGCGUAAAGCGCGCGCAGGCGGAUCAGUCAGUCUGUCUUAAAAGUUCGGGGCUUAACCCCGUGAUGGGAUUGAAACUGCUGAUCUAGAGUAUCGGAGAGGAAAGUGGAAUUCCUAGUGUAGCGGUGAAAUGCGUAGAUAUUAGGAAGAACACCAGUGGCGAAGGCGACUUUCUGGACGAAAACUGACGCUGAGGCGCGAAAGCCAGGGGAGCGAACGGGAUUAGAUACCCCCGUAGUCCCUGUCUCUUAUACA
rnacentral:rRNA from 1 species